GUCAGCAUAAAUAAAUCAACCAAAUAAUAUUUUCUAUUUAUAACCGAAAUUGGUUAAUUUAAAUUUUAAAUGCUAUUUAACUGAUAAUAACAAUGGAACUACGAUUCAUUGGAAAAUAUAUUCAUCGAAUAAAUGUGAUUAACAUAAAUAUUUAAUUAUAUAUGUUUAUUAAAUUUUUAUUAAAUUUUUAUAGGUAUAUAUACAAAAUAUUGGGCCACACAUUACGUACCUUUUCGCCAGUUAACCGUUUAAUAGCGAAAUGAAGGUUCGCUUAAAUAUUUCGGAUUACAUUUAAGCUUUUCCGCUCAAACCGGUCAAUCCGUUGAACGGAUAAAUUCUGUCAAUAAGCCGCAAUGAUCAAUGAAGUUUUUUUGUUAAAUAUUUCCAAGACGAUCAACGAAGAUUUAUUAUUCAUCGGCAAAUCAAUCGUGUUUGCUACGCUUAAUUUAAUUUAUCAGUAAACUGUAUUUUAAUGUUAUAGACUUGAAAGUAAUUAACAUGACAGAGCGAUAAGGACAAUUUUCAAAAAGAUAGUGUUUUAAAACACAUUUUGCCUGGAGUAAGCUGCACAUUUUUAUCCCUUCACUUUCACAAAUCGUAUAUCGAAAUUCCGACAAUUUUCCAAAUAGAUGCCAAUAAAUAUAUAUUUGUUUAAAUAUCAGCUAAACAUAACAUACUUAAAUGGCGGUAAUGUGUGAUUUGCACCUGAACGCACAAUGAACGUUCAUAACAUCAACGGAAGUUUCCAGAACGAUAACCAAAAAGUAUAGUUCUCGAAUAUCUCGAUUAUAUAUUUUUGGAAUAUUUAACAAACGCUUGUUAAUCCGCAAUAUCAUCGAGACAAAAUGAAACAAAGAUCUAAAGCAAGAUUUUACAAAUCGUUGAACAUCAAACUUGCACCGAUAUUGAUGAAGGAUGGGCUAUAAUACUUUAAAAUUUCUAACCUCAAAGAAAAAAAAGAAAAAAAGAAAAGGGAACCUAUACACGUAGCUGUCACCGCUAAAAACAAGGCAGAGAGUCUUCCGGAAUAGAUGCGUGGAGCAAUACGAUUUCAACUUAAACGUAAGGAACGCCAUUUAUAAAUUUAGUCAUAGCCAAGAUUACAACGAUCUCUUACCUCAAUCAAGCAAUUUUGGCCAAAUUUCUAACAUACAAACUGUCUUUAGCUGAAUCUGAUGAUUAAUUAUUCUUGAAUAUUGCGUUAGGGAAUACCCGAGAACAACUCAAAAUAAUGACAUGGAAAGCUCCGAGGAAAAUUUUUAUGAAGAAAGUAAUGGCGUCGUCCUCCAAAGUUUUCAUCCAUGUAGAUAUUUUAAAACCUGGUGUAGAAGACUACAAAAAGGUGAAAAGAAUAUUAAACGGUAGUAGAGGCUAAAAGGAGCACAAACCGACCAAAGAAAAGAUUGUUGGGUAAACAGUCUUUACGGAGGCAUAAAAAAAAGUACAAUACUUUUGGAUAGCUAUAAACUUAUAGAUUUGAUACGCUUGGCUAUCACAGGCUAACUAAAUCUGAAAGAUUGCUACCCAAACCAAGGAUGGUUCUAUCAAUUUAGAACCUCCUCUAAAGUAUGGUCAGAUCAACAAACUGAAUUUUAAACAUUUACUCCUUUCGAAUGCAAAAAUAUUCUAACGGAACGUAAGCAAUUGAUAAAACUGCAAGCGAUCAAAGAUCGUAAUUACAUAAUCAGUGAGGGCAAUACUAUAAUCGAAAUGCCAUCACCUGUUAGUUUAAUAAUCCAGUACAUAUUGAUUGUCAUUGGGUUUACGAGCACAUGGAAAAGGACAAAUUUCGUAUUUAGCUAUCGGGAUUUAAUACGUCUAGGAAUUCAUGAAUUUACCAUAUAUUGAACCAGCUAAGAGAUCGAUGGAUGAUUUCCUAAGUUUUAUCAAAAUAUAACGAUCUUGCGAAAAAUUCUGAUAUUACAAAUACGAUCUUGCAUCGUUUACGGUUACAUGGAAAUAUUACAAAAAAAAAGAUGAGUAAGAGACAUACUCUACGUAGAAUUCAUAAACCCAAGCCGAAUAUUGAGCAUUUCAGGAACUCGGAUAAAGCAAGCAUGAGCAAAUUUCAAGAACCAAAAUAUAUUUAAGCUUAGCUAAGCCUAUUGGAAGCAAAGAUUAUGAUGAUGCUGUGUACCUGAAAAUGUCUGCAUAUAUUGUAUACAAAACGAGGCAAAGCAGACGACAAAGAAAUCCUAUGUCUAUUACUUUAUUAUUUCAAAGAUUUAUAUGAAUUAAACGACUUUCAUCCUAAACGAAGUAGGAUUCAAAAUUUCUUCACUUUCUAUAAAGUAUUGGGAAGCAAUCUAGUGACUUUUCGCUGAUCUUUACAAUCCACAGGUAUCCGAAGAUAUUGCCUUAAAGAUAAAGAAAAUUUCCGAGAGAUUAAAACUAAAUUCGUUUCUUGAGGAGAAACGAUUCCAGAUGAGCAUACAAUUUCACACUCAAUGCUAUGCAGUUAGAAAACCUUAACAAGCAAAUGUAUUAAGAACAUAAAGCACUUUGAUAACAGCGGCUACUUUCAUAAUUCAUAAGAGAUAAGUGAUUUACUUUAGUAUAAUUUUGCAGAAAAUAUUUGUUAGAAUAUAAGAAAAUAUUUCUCCUGGAUAUGGAUAAUGAUAACAUAAAUGAAGGAUAAUUUGGGAAACUCUCUGAGAUUAAAUAACUUCGAGAAAAUCAAAGCGGGACGAACACUACCACUAAUACUACCCCAACUACGCUCUUCAAACACUUUGCAUUUCGGCGGAACGAGAAUCAGAAUAAGCAAAAGAAUUAUAUUCGAUCGUGACCGAACCUUCUCUAUAUCCAUUACUAUCCCAUCUAUUAUCCCAAGCAAGACAAAAAAGGUAGAAGAACCUAAUUUUUUUUCUUACUCUCUAAUAUGGAGUAGGUGCGGCCGAUUUUUCCUGUUUUAAAGCUAACAGGGUUUGCCGUAUUGUAAAUGUGCCGGGCGAACAAUUCUAAUGAGAGAACGUGCGAACGAAAAUCGGAAUUUCUGAUUGAAAUUGCGACCAUUCUAGAAACAAUCGCAUAUGCGUUCCAUGUUGAGUUACGGCAGUCUUUUUAUGGUAAAAUAGCCUCAGCCAUUUGGGAUAAGUAAUGUCCCGUUCAUUAUUAGUUCAAUAUUUUGAAACAAAUUUUAUAAAAUAGCAAAAUUAUAUCAAAACUAUUCCCAAACAAAAAACAUAACAGAAAAAGAAGACGAAGAAGAAGAACAAAAGAAUAGAAAUAUGAAAUUUGCCGAAAUCAAUUAAGUGACUCUUAAACACCUCCUUCAACGGACAACUUUCUUCAGAUUGAAUUUAGUUUAAAAAUUGGUGUCCCAUGUGUGUACAAUUCGCCAUUAAUUUACUGAAAUUAAGUCAUUAUCGCAAUAGUAAGAAAGUUUUGAAAGUUUCGCAAAGAUCGCGAAAAACGCGAUUGAAUUCUUUGGAUUCGUCGAUAGAUUUAGAUAAGAAAGUAAAAGACGAGAAAAUAAUUAGAGUAGAAUAGUUUAGAAAUUUCCCCAAGAUCCGAAAGACACGA